rnacentral:lncRNA from 1 species
CGCCCCUCCGCUCUGGAGCUGGGUUCCUGUGAGGGAGGAGGCCUCUUUGGUGGCGAGGAAUAAGAAGAAAAGAUUCUGGAAGAGUUGGAGAAGAUAGUGCAUUCAGUCCCCAAACCAGCAGAUCGGCAAAGUAGGUAAGUUAUGAGAGAUUAAGUGACUAUGGAAAACAUUUUAAUUAAGUUCU